AUCUACGGCCAUACCACCCUGAACGCGCCCGAUCGCGUCUGAUCUCGGAAGCUAAGCAGGGUCGGGCCUGGUUAGUACUUGGAUGGGAGACAAUUCAUGUAAAUGCAAUGAUUGGUU
rnacentral:rRNA from 1 species